AACAUCCUUUUGUGUGUAAGUGUGUAUUAGUACAUGCUAACGAUAUUCAAAAAGUACAUACCUCAAAGAAAACGAUGACGCGAGUUAUCGUCUCUAACGUUCGAGGACUACAAAAAACACUCGGAUUGUAGGCAACAGUUUACUUCCUGGGAUUAGUGACGUAGAGAAGACCAACAUUAUCAUAGUUCAGCCCUCUCUGCUUCGCUUGGGUACGCCCUCAAAGACGGGGGUGGAGAGCGCUGAGUCAGAAGAGAGCUAAAAUGGCGGAGGUUGGGAGUCCCUGCUUUGACCCUGUUUGCAAACUCUUGUUUCACCAUUUAAGCGAUUAAAUCUCUCGAGUAGACGCUGUCUCUUUAGAUGCAAGGGCAAAAUAGCACUUUAUGGACUUACACAGAGGACAUCAUGUUUAAUACGGUUCCGGAAAAAUCCAGUCAGAAGUUGUUCACGGAGUUUUCACAAUAACUGCUUCUCAUGAACCGAAGCUGCGCGACGUCUACUCCUGAAAGUUGGAUUACCGUGCACUUCUGGAUCACAGGCUAUUCGCAGCUGGACACAUCCUUCUACACUGUAUGCAAACAUGCAACAUCAUUACACACAGUACAAGGAGUCAGACUGGCAUAUGAGGAGCAAAGGAACCCAGGCAGUAGCAUCGUUUCACAAUGUUUCAAUCACCAUCAUCAGUGGAUGCCUUUGCCGUCCGUAGCCUGAGAUUUCAGAUUUGCAGCAAAAAAUGUGACUUUCCCAUUUAUUGGAAUGCUGUGCAGGUUAUACCUUACAGCCGUCCAUUACAAUGUCACCAAGCCGUAACAAAAGCAGGAGAGGGAAAGUACAAGGCUAUGUUCCCAAAACACACAACUGACAUACUUUAUGUGGAUGAUGUGAUCAGGCUUGUGUUUGAUGAGGUAUUUGAAGAUAAGCUGAAGGAAACCCCGAUUCCAAUGGACCUGGCAUCACAGUUUGAGAGACCUUCAAAGGAGGACGUGAUUGCAUGCCAUCUUCAGUGCAGGGGUCGUCGGAAGCCAACAUUCCGAUCAGGAAGCUCCAAGCAUAUCUGGAGAACAACACACGACAGGAUGAUAACCCUAAAGUGUCGUCUUAAAUAGCACCAGCUGACAAAGCUUUGAUAUGCCAUUUAUCUGAAUAGAUAGCUGUAAGAAGUGAAUUGAACAAUUUUUGAGAGAAGAGCACAAUAUGGUUACUAAAGUAUGUUUAUUUGUAUAUUGUUUAACAUUUAAAUAUAUAUUUGUAAUAAAUAAAAAAAACUUUUGACUGACUACUA